CACCUACCCCCAACCCACCACGCACAAACUGCUCGCGCUACUACGAGUUGUCGGGCCGCCACUGGUUGGCGGAGCCGUCUCACCCGCGACCAUCUCUCUUUAGCGCGACCUCCCUGCUCGGGGCGCCUCCACGGCGUCUCAUCUGCAACUCCGCCGAUCUGCAUCUCGCGCCGACUCCGAUGGCCAUGGAACCGCAGCUCGCGCCCCCAACUCUCUGUCUCUAGGCGCCGGAGUUGGUUAUUCGUCUACGGGGAUGAGUUGUAGCUGGACUGGAGUGGCCGCGAAGGGGGGUGGUGCGGAGCAAAGUGGUGGUGCAAGAGGUGUCGUCCUGCGCUCAGCGGCAUGGCCCCGUGCCGCCACGGGUUAAUGGAUCCGCGGGCGCAUCCAGGGCGCCGACGUGCUCCUCGGAUGGUUUGAGGCACUGUCGCGCCUCUCGUUCUCCGGUGCGUCCGUGGGAGGCGACGACGGUGGGGUGCCUCUGCUACUAGUGGUGCUCGAUAUCGAGCGGCGGCGACAGAGAGCUCUUGACACCCGUUCUCAGGCCCUUCUCGGCGGCGAGGAGAGCCGCUCUGGCAUACUGGUGGAGGCACGGUCGAUCUGCUGGCCGACGUUUGGCUUUUCUUCACCUGCAGGACUCUGUCGGAAUAAAAAAAUGUCUGCUGUGCAUUGCUACUUGUGAGCUGCGUUGGGAUUUUCCUAAAAAGGAGAGGAUGAUGCAAUAUAGUAGAGGUAAGUAUUUUCCUCAGUUAAGAACCAAUUACCAAUCCAGUAGGAGAACCACGCAACACCUCAUUAACACCUAUAUACAAAAUAACAAAUACUUGCACCCAAUGCAAAUAAGGGGUUAUCAAUCACUUUGCGGUUAAUUGUAAGGAUCAAAUCUCAUAGUGAUAGAUAGAUAAACAAAAACACACACAAAAAUACGGUAAAUAAAUUACAUUAAGGUAUUUUUGGAUUUUAAGAUAUGAUAAGUAUGGACCUGGGGUCAUAAUUUUCACUAGAGGCUCCUCUCUCGAACAAAAAGCAUACGGUGGGUAAACAAAUUACUGUUCGGCAAUGAUAAAAAAGCGCAUAGUUAUGAUGAUAUUCAAGGCAAUGAUCAUGUAUAUAGGCAUCACGUCUAAAACAAGUAGACCGACUCAUGCCUGCAUCUACUACUAUUACUCCACACGUCGACAGCUAU